GCCCAGACUCCUACGGGAGGCAGCAGUGGGGAAUAUUGCACAAUGGGGGGAACCCUGAUGCAGCGACGCCGCGUGGGUGAAGAAGUCAUUCGUGACGUAAAGCCCUAUCAGCAGGGAAGAAAAUGACGGUACCUGAGUAAGAAGCCCCGGCUAACUACGUGCCAGCAGCCGCGGUAAUACGUAGGGGGCAAGCGUUAUCCGGAUUUACUGGGUGUAAAGGGAGCGUAGACGGCAGUGCAAGUCUGGAGUGAAAGGCGGGGGCUCAACCCCCGGACUGCUCUGGAAACUGUACGGCUGGAGUGCAGGAGAGGUAAGUGGAAUUCCUAGUGUAGCGGUGAAAUGCGUAGAUAUUAGGAGGAACACCAGUGGCGAAGGCGGCUUGCUGGACGAAAACUGACGUUGAGGCUCGAAAGCGUGGGGAGCAAACAGGAUUAGAUACCCGUGUAA
rnacentral:rRNA from 1 species